GUGCUUGCUUUGGCAGCACAUACACUAAAAUUGGAACUGUACAGAGAAGAUAAGCAUGGCUUCUGCACAAGGAUGACACACAAAUUUGGAAGGUAUUAGUUAAAAAA
ensembl:snRNA U6 U6 spliceosomal RNA